GGGCCCAUAGUUCACUGGUAGAACGCUUCUCUUAUAAAGAAGAAGUAGAAGGUCCGAUUCCUUCUGGGCCCA
rnacentral:tRNA from 1 species